rnacentral:tRNA from 1 species
AGCCCGGUGGUGCAGCCUGGUAAGCAUGGAGGCCUUUGGAGCCUCCGACGGGAGUUCGAAUCUCCCCCGGGCUA